UGGGGAAUAUUGCACAAUGGAGGGAACUCUGAUGCAGCGACGCCGCGUGAACGAAGAAGGCUUUCGAGUCGUAAAGUUCUUUUAUAUGGGAAGAUAAUGACGGUACCAUAAGAAAAAGCCCCGGCUAACUACGUGCCAGCAGCCCCGGUAAAACGUAGGGGGCUAGCGUUGUCCGGAAUCACUGGGCGUAAAGGGUUCGCAGGCGGAAAGGCAAGUAGGGUGUAAAAGGCAGUAGCUUAACUACUGUAAGCAUUUGAAACUGCAUAUCUUGAGAAGGGUAGAGGUAAGUGGAAUUUUUGGUGUAGCGGUGAAAUGCGUAGAUAUUAAAAAGAAUACCGGUGGCGAAGGCGACUUACUGGGCUCAUACUGACGCUGAGAAACGAAAGCGUGGGUAGCAAACAGG
rnacentral:rRNA from 1 species